rnacentral:rRNA from 1 species
AACGUAGGAUCCGAGCGUUAUCCGAAUUUACUGGGCGUAAAGCGCGUGUAGGCGGUUUGGUAAGUUGGAUGUGAAAGCUCCUGGCUCAACUGGGAGAGGCCGUUCAAAACUGCCAGACUAGAGGAUGGUAGAGGGAGGUGGAAUUCCGGGUGUAGUGGUGAAAUGCGUAGAUAUCCGGAGGAACACCAGUGGCGAAGGCGGCCUCCUGGGCCAUUCCUGACGCUCAGACGCGAAGGCUAGGGUAGCGAAC